rnacentral:lncRNA from 1 species
AUGGAGGUUCCCAGGCCAGGGGGCAAAUUGUAGCUGGCCUAUACCACAGCUCACGGCAACAUCAGAUCCUUAACCCACUGAGUGAAGCCAGGGAUCGAACCUGCAUCCUCAUGGAUGCUAGCCAGAUUUGUUUUCACUGAGCCACGAUGUGAACUACUUAAAGAGACAACCUUAAGGGGAGAUGUGAUCUUGGUGGGGAGCCCUCCUCUCUGCCCAGCCUGGCCUGCCUGAAUUCUGCUCUGGGUGUGACAGUUGUCACCUCUGCCUGUUUCAUGGGCUGCAUUUCAUGGGCUGCAUUUCAUGGGUUUCAAUCGGCCCAUUCCAUUUGUGCUUUUGGUACAUUUGCUUUGAGCUUCGGGCUUUGAUGUCACCCUUGCUCAGCCAGCUUUGGGCCUUGAGGUGUGGGAGCUUCAGCAAGAGGAGGAAGGCUUCCUGUUUGAACCGGCACAGUGAUUGAUUAACCCUUCCUGUAACUUGUCUGGUGAAAAAGAGACAGCUUGGCAAAGCAGGCUCCAGAUGGCCACAGGAUGAAGGCCACACUUCCUGAGAUGCUGAUUUAGGGGGGAGAGAGGGGAUUGGGAUAGCCUGGAGCAGACUGAGUUUGACAUGUGGCCAUACUCACCUGUGAACUCCAAAGAGACUGGUGGCCUGGUGUGCCUCUAAAGAGUUUGCAAUUGGAGAUUUCAUUCUCUGAGCAAGCGUUCAUCUCAGGCCCUUGUUCCCACAUGGCAAACAAAUCAAUCCAAACAGAAGGGACAAAAAUACACUCAAAAUAAAUCAUGUUUACAACUUAUUUUGGUCUUGAUUGUUUUGUUUUGUCUUGUGUAAACUCCACUAUUAACUCCCAAGCUCUAAAUACAAUUAAGUAGCAGGAAAGUAAGAAAGAAAAAAUAGGAAGGAAAGAAGGAAGGAAGGGAGGAAGGAAGUUAAGAAGGAACUAAUUUUAUAAUGAACUUCUAAAGAAGGUUAUAAACACAACCCUGUUGCUCCAAUAUCGCUUAGUAUUUUAAAGCAAGAGAUACUUGCCCUUCUUUUCCAUUUACUCCAUUAUUCCAAACAAACUUCUUCUGGAAUAAAGUGAAGAUAAGACAGCUCUAUUCUCUUGCUCACAUGAAAAAGAAGGCAGGGUUUAUAAAAUGCUUUUAAUCAGAUUUUAAAAUUCUUAUGUGUUUAUUUUUUGCCCUUUACCAAACAUGUUGCUGGUUCUUUCCAGGAAGAGAAAACACCAUAUGAAAUACACUUCAGUUCUCUCUGUGGCUCUACUCAUAGGUCCAGCCUUUACAGUGACUGUUCCUGAGGGUGGGGGACUUGGUCAUCUGCCAUCACGAAACCAGAGGGUAAUUUAAGGACUGAUUUGGCAGCUGGGCCAAGCUCCUCAUACAACCUCAGAAACCAAAUUAAAAAUCAGAACAAAUACGCCCUGCUCCAUUUCUUAAGUAUGUUUGUGGUGGGAAACUGGAUGCAAAUGCACAGAGUGGUUCACUAUUGAUUUAGGCAUAGGUUUAAAAAAAAAUAGCCAGUUAGACAAGGCUAUUACUGUGUUAACAGUAACUCACACUGCACCAUUGGAUCAAAGCACAUUCAGAAUCAACUACUAGAAUAUGAGUUUUAUACUGAGCAAUGGGCAGCCAGGGGAGUGCCAUGAUCUGACCUGUUAGGCUCUCUCUGGCUGCUCAAUUGAGAACAGACUUUCAGGGGACCAGGGUGGAACAGAAGAACUAUUUACAGACUAUUGCAGCAGUCCUGAAGAAGUUGUGGUGGUUAAUAUUUGGGGUUGAAUUCCAGACAUAUUUUGAAGGUGAAAACCUAUAAGAUUUGCUGACUCAUUGGCUACAGCACAUGAGAGAAGCUGUGGCUGUCUAGCAGGAAGAGAUGGAAGGCUAGGGCUGCCUUUAAUCAAGAUGAGGAAGACUGGCUAAGAAGAGUUCAGCUUGGACUUACUUCACGUAUGAUGCCUGUGAGACACUCGAGUGACGGAUCAGGUGGGCAGUUGGAUGUAUGAAUUCUGAGUAUAAGGGAGAGGUCUGGGGUGAAGACAGGCAUCUGGAGACAAAUUGGAAAGGGCUAUUUCAAGCUGAAACCAGAUGAGAUCACCUAGGAAGAGAGUAUAGACAGGACAAAGAAGACAUUCAGUGGAAUCCUAAGAUACUCCAUCAUUCCCAGGUCAAGAAGAGGAGGAAACUGCUGAAAAAGAAACCAAGAUGGAAAGAUUGAGCUACAGUGUCUUGUAACCAGGAACAAAACAAAAGCAAUAAUCUUUGUGCUUCUGUUUUUCUCUAUUUUACCUAAUAUCACUUCCUUUUCACUUAGUACAGUACUUUCUCAUUCAAUAGCAGGAAAGCCAGACUGUAAGUACAGAGAAUCACUGAGGCAGAGUUUUCUUUCUUUCUUUCUUUUUUUUUUAAUCACAUCUGUAGUUGUAUAAUGAUCAUAACAAUCCAAUUUCACAGGAUCUCCAUCCCAUAACCCAAGCACAUCCCCCAGAGGCGGAGAUGAAGGGGACAUUCUAGGGAAAUGAGGCACCUUUCAGGGAAUCUGAUACUAGAUAUCAGAUAUUAGAACUACAUGAUAAGUUAAAACCAUAAAACAGACAGAGGUGAAAGGAACGACAGCUACCCAGUGAUAGAUGAGGAAAAACAAUGGGCAAGAUGUAUUUAGAUAAGGGUCCAUCAGGCUCAGAACCUUGAAACAGAAGGUGGGAGUUCCAAAUCGAGGUGCCUGAUUAAUACCCAGAUCCUGAACUACAUACAGAGUAGGCCAGUUUUUAAACCUUUUUUUAAUGGUUUGAAUACCUUUUAUUCUACAUUUGGGGUCCUCUUUGCUCUCAAGGAAUUGGCAAAUUUUAAAGCUUGGCUCUGUCACUCACUCAACUAGAAUGCCAAUUUCCUCACCUAUAAAGAAGGACAAAGUUUACUGUGAAUAAUAAUAAUAACAAAAAUCAACAUGUCAAAGUGCCUUCCAUAUGUCAGGCACUUGUCUGAAGCCUCAUUUUAUACUUACUAUCUUCCCAUUUUACAGAUGAAGAAAUGGGACUUAGCAAUUAAGGGAUGAGCCUAAGUGAGUACAAAGGAUACAAUUCAAACCUAGAGCUUUGUGACAACACCCUGGCAAUGUCAGAACUGUGUUGGGUCAGGGUCAGUAAGUGCUGGGUGAAAACAUCUGCCUAGUGAAAAAGAAAGACAAAUACCAUAUGAUAUCACUUAUAUCUGGAAUCUAAUAUAUGGCACAAAUGAAAAUUUUCCACAGAAAAGAAACUCAUGGGAGAAUAGAUUUGUGGUUGCCGAGGGGGAGGGAGGGAGUGGGAUGGAAUAGGAAUCUGGGGUUAAUUGAUGCAAACUAUUGCAUUUGGAAUGGAUAAGCAAUGAGAUCUUGGUGUAUAGCACUGGGAACUCUAGCCACUUGUGAUGGAGCAUGAUGGAGGAUAAUGUGAGAAAAAGAAUAUAUAUGUGUGUGUGUCUGGGUUACUUCGCUGUACAGUAGAAAACUGACAGAACACUGUAAACCAACUAUAACGGAAAAAAUAAAAAUCAUUUUAAAAUAAGAAUAUCUGCCUAGCAAAAGAAGGGCUUGAUUUAGAUGAGUCUAGGAAGCUAGGAUAUGAUGCUUCUUCUGAGCUCAGGGCCUAUGGUCAAAAGCCACAUUCCCCCUAGAGAAGGAAGGUAGGGAACACACACUUACUGAGAAUAUGUUCAGCCAAGGAGCAAGGCACUUACCAUGUGCAGAUUUAGUACCUUCUUAUAACAAUUCUGUAGUACAGGUGUUACUUCCACUGUCUUACAAAUGAAGAAACUAAGACUCAGGUGAGGAACCUACACAGGCUUGUCUGGUAGGGAAAGGGACAAGGCUGGUUUGCACCAGACUGGUCUUGAUUCUAAAGCUCAUGUUCUUUCCUAUAUUCCCAGGGAAAAGAUAUUCUUUUCUGUCUCCAAAACCAGUACAAAAUCAGACGUGUCUUUUCUUGCCAUUUUGAUCUCUUUUGUAAUAGUUUUUUUUUUUUUUUCCUGCACCUGUGGUAUGCAGAAGUUCCCAGGUCAGGGAUUGAACCUGUGCCACAGCAGUGACAACAUUGGAACAUUGGGUCCUUAACCUAGCAAGCCAUCGGGGAACUCCAAGACUUUUUUUUGGCCAUCUUUCAUAAUACUUUUUCUUCUUCUGCCCCAAUUCUACCAAAAUAAUUCUACCCAAAUAUGGGUGAAGACCAAUAGCCCUUUCUGUCAUUCCUGCUCCCUCUUAUGUGAGUCUCUUCAGCACAUUUGAAAGUUUGUCUUCAUUCCCUUCCCCCAAAGUGAAAGUUGCUGUCUUUUGGUUAACUCAGAACUACAGGGAUAAAUUCUUGGGAAAGUCAUGUGUUUUCAUUAUUAUGUUAUUUAGUCAUGUACUUGAAACACAUUUAUAUUGGUAGGCUAUUCAUAAAAUAAACCAUUCAGAUGAAAACAAACAAACAAGCAAACAAAACAACAACAAAAACCAAGCCAGCAUGUUUUGGAGUUAUCUUGAGAAAACAAAGAGAAGCCUCCUAUAGCGAAACAUGCUUAACUCUUCUGUCUCAUUUCCUAAUACAGGACCCUAUUGACCACCAUCAUGGUUGAGAGCAAUCCCAAUCUUUCCAUGUGAAAGUCAUCAUAGCAGACACUUGGUGUUUGUUAUCAUUAUAAAGGAAACAUAUUGCCCAGAGUUUACUGGAAUCCCAUGCAAAGUGAUUAAAGUCAGUGCCUUUAGCUACCUGCCUUCAACUUUCCUUUUCAAAUUCCUUGUUAAGGGUGCAUGUUUUCAUGGAGGGUAGGAGUAGAGAGCUAAUAUCAAUUAAGUACUAUGAUCACGCACUCUGGAUCCUUGCUACUGAAAGUGUGA